GAUUUUUUUGUUAUUAUAGGGGUUUUGAAAACCCUUUUAGAGAAAAAUAUUCUCAACAAAUUU
rnacentral:tRNA from 1 species